rnacentral:rRNA from 1 species
AGUGAACGCUGGCGGUAGGCCUAACACAUGCAAGUCGAACGGCAGCACAGUAAGAGCUUGCUCUUACGGGUGGCGAGUGGCGGACGGGUGAGGAAUACAUCGUAAUCUACUUUUUCGUGGGGGAUAACGUAGGGAAACUUACGCUAAUACCGCAUACGACCUACGGGUGAAAGCAGGGGAUCUUCGGACCUUGCGCGAUUGAAUGAGCCGAUGUCGGAUUAGCUAGUUGGCGGGGUAAAGGCCCACCAAGGCGACGAUCCGUAGCUGGUCUGAGCGGAUGAACAGACAAACUAGAAAUUAGAAACGGGUCAAACAACCACGGGAAGGACCAGUGGGGAAAGGUGGACAAUGGGAGGCAGCCUGGACCAGACAUACAGCGUGGGUGAAGAAAGCCUUCGGGUUGUAAAGCACUUUUGUUGGGAAAGAAAAGCAGCAGGUUAAUACCCCGCUGUUAUGACGGUACCCAAAGAAUAAGCACCGGCUAACUUCGUG